rnacentral:rRNA from 1 species
AUUGAACGCUGGCGGCAGGCCUAACACAUGCAAGUCGAACGAGUGGCGGACGGGUGGGUAAUGUCUGGGAACAUGCCUGAUGGAGGGGGAUAACUGCUGUAACCGGUAGCUAAUACUGCUACCCCUCGUUUCUGCCCAGGUUGGAUUAGCUAGUAGGUGGGGUAACGGAUAACCUAGGCGACGAUCCCUAGCUGGUCUGAGAGGAUGACCAGCCACACUGGAACUGAGACACGGUCCAGACUCCUACGGGAGGCAGCAGUGGGGAAUAUUGCGCAAUGGGCGAAAGCCUGAUGCAGCCAUGCCGCGUGUGUGAAGAAGGCUUUCGGGUUGUAAAGUACUUUCGGCAGGGAGGCGUUACCCGAAGAGGAAGCACCGGCUAACUCCGUGCCAGCAGCCGCGGUAAUAC